AUUGCAAGAUGAAAUAAAUUUUUUUGGAGUUAAAAAUAGGGAGGGGGGUCAGGAUUUUAUGACGUCCUUUUCCAAGGGGUAUAGGGAAUAAGGACAACUGGUGACAAAGGAGGGGGGAGGAGGUCAAAAAUUGGCUAAAAAUAAUGACGUCCUUUAUGGAUGGCCCCUAAACUGCUGCAACUUGACUAUGUGCCAUUCUGCAAAAGUGUAAAGUUUCUCUUUCUCAUCUUAUUUCAUUUAUUAGUUCCUAAUGUAAUAUAACCUUUUAAUCCAAAAGAAGAUUUUUUUAUAAUCUGUCUACCAAUAAAAGUUUAUAAGUAUAUACAAGUUGUUCCCAGAUUUGUAUUUAUUUUUAUUUAGAAGAUACAACUUUGCUUGCAUUUAAGGCACUCCUUUUUCUUCUGAUAGCGCCUCCACAGAAGGGCAAGAAGAGUCCAAGAAUGGAUCUUGAUGCAAUUUUGGCUUUAUUUUAUAGAGAAAUGGAUGUACACCUCAGUCUUGAAAGCUCCCUUGAUUUAUUGAAGAAGGAGAAAGUUUUUCAACCGAUUUUAUUCAAGUGUUGCGGCACUCUAUUUAUAAUUCUAAUUAUAACUCUAAUUAUAAGUUGAUAAUACAGCUAUACGGUUGGAAGCCAUACCGAG